CAUCCUCCAAGGCUAAAUACUCCUGACUGACCGAUAGUGAACCAGUACCGUGAGGGAAAGGCGAAAAGAACCCCGGCGAGGGGAGUGAAAAAGAACCUGAAACCGUGUACGUACAAGCAGUGGGAGCAUCCUUCGGGGUGUGACUGCGUACCUUUUGUAUAAUGGGUCAGCGACUUAUAUUCUGUAGCAAGGUUAACCGAAUAGGGGAGCCGAAGGGAAACCGAGUCUUAACUGGGCGUUAAGUUGCAGGGUAUAGACCCGAAACCCGGUGAUCUAGCCAUGGGCAGGUUGAAGGUUGGGUAACACUAACUGGAGGACCGAACCGAC
rnacentral:rRNA from 1 species